rnacentral:lncRNA from 1 species
CGCCACUGCAGUCCAGCCUGGAUGACAGAGUGAUACUCCGUCUCAAAACCAAAAAAAGAAAGACCCCGCCAGGUGUUGCUGAUAACUCGCCCACCAUCACAGUGAAGGAGAAGCUCGGCUUCACGAGAGCUUCGCCUGUGACCGCACCUGUGACUGAAAUGGCCGUGACUCCUGAGUAUUCUAGCUGCCUCCGCCUUUGAGACAGAGCAGGAAGAACCUGUGGAUGGUGGGAUUCCCUCUUCUUGGAGAAGGGGAUGAGCAUUUCCCGCUGCCCUCCUGACACGCCCGUGGCUGUCUGCCUUGCUCUGUACCUCCAGACUUCAUGGAAAGCAUGCUCGACCUUUGACUUCUGGGUGGGUGACUUGGGGCACACCCAAGCAGGAGACCAGCCUGCAGAGAGGGGGCCUAUGUCACUCUGGCCACUCUGUGGUUGGGCUGGCUGUGGCCCACAGACCCUCUGCUCCCUCUGUGAGUCCCCUUGGGCCCCUUUCCUCUUUCCUAGGGUGUGAGUGUGGCACCCUUCAUGACACUCUUCCUAAUCACCCCAUAGGGUGUGCCGCUUCCUUCCUGCGGGAACUCUAACUGGCCCUGUGUAAUGAUCUUUUACACAGAGCUCGUAAAACUAACCCCUGGCCCUGAUGAGUCUUUGGAACAUGAGGCUUACCGGUGAUGAAUAACUCCCAGCAAUCACUGAAACAUCACAAGCUUCUGUCUCUGCUUCCCGCUCCACACCGCCCUCUGCUCUGCUUAGUCUGGUUCAUGUUUUGCAUUCACAUCAUUGCUAUUGUUGUUUUUUCUCCCGUUCCUCUGGACUCCUUUUUGUUGCCCAGCACUAACAAUCAUAAAACUUAUGUUCUAAAAUCAUAAAACUGCAAUGGAGAGCAAAGACAAAAAACAAAUGGUUUUAAGUUAGAGUUGUAACACUACAUAAUUUACUACCUCGGGAGGAUGGGAUGAGAAUUCUGGUCAAAUGAAAUUUCUCUGGUCUAUAAAUCUGCUAUUUCCAAUUGGUACUUUGGCUUUCCAAAAUGUUUAACAAACAGGACUUUGGGGGCUACAUGUUUUUCACAAACCUGUUUGGGAUAUAUUAGUUAUAGUUUUUGGCUACACAAGAAAGUAAGUCAAAAUUUAAUUUGUGCAAGAAUAAUAGACUUGUUUUUUUAAUGAUAAAUGAAAAGAAAAUUUGGAAGAGACUGUGUUUCCUCACAGAUUCUGCCACCUUGGGACUCCUAACCCUACCAAAAAAUCUAGAUGGGAUGAGGAAUUGUUUUCCAUAUUUUCAUGCAUUUUAGAACAAUUAUUUUUUAUUUUUAGUUUUAGCUCCACAAAUAUGACCAAUGAUAUUGCAUAUUAAAGUAAAAAUUUGAAAACAGCUAUGCAUCCACAGGUUAAAUUUUUAUUUCUGUGGUUUAAAUCUGAUUUCACCACAUUUUCCCCCAAUGAAAUGGAUGCUUGGUAAUGCAGUUAAAUAUCUGACUUUUCAGGAGCAUAAAAUAGCAGCUCUUCUUCCUGGGGAUGGGGCAGUGGCCACCCCAAGGUGUGGAGGGCUUUCCUGUGGAAGCAUCACAUGGACUCAUCAUCUGUGGCUCCAGUGGAGAAACCUGGAGUCAAUGGAUGUACGCUGGAGGGAGACCAACUUCAACUUCAUACGAGGAAACAUUUCUAAUAAUUAGGUUAGCGGAGGUACAAACUGCCUUGAAGGGCUGUGCUUUUUCUGCCUCUGAAAUUUCUUCAGGAAAGCCUGAGCUGUAUGCUGCAAAUGAGAAGCUUAACUUGUUAACCUCAAGCAAGGAUUAAAUUAAGUUCCAGUGACAUAUCACUGAUCUUCAUAUAGACCAAUGGAACAGAGCAGAGGCCUCAGAAAUAAUGCCACACAUCUGCAACUGUCUGAUCUUUGACAAACCUGACAAAAACAAGCAACUGGGAAAGGACUCCCUAUUUAAUAAAUGGUGCUGGGAAAACUGGCUAGCCAUAUGCAGAAAACUGAAACUGGAGCCCUUCCUUAUACCUUAUAUAAAAAUUAACUCAAGAUGGGUUAAAGACUUAAAUAUAACAUAAAACCAUAAAAACCCUAGAAGAAAACCUAGACAAUACCAUUCAGGACAUAGGCAUGGCCAAUGACUUCAUGACUAAAACAUGAAAAGCAAUGGCAAUGAAAGCCAAAAUUGACAAAUGGGAUCUAAUUAAACUAAAGAGCUUCUGCACAGCAAAAGAAACUAUCAUCAGAGUCAACAGGCAACCUACAUGGGAGAAAAUAUUUGCAAUCUAUCUAUUUGACAAAGGGCUAAUAUCUAGAAUUUACAAGGAACUUAAACAAAUUUACAAGAAAAAAACAACCCCAUCAAAAAGUGGGCAAAGGAUGUGAACAGCCACUUCUCAAAAGAAGACAUUUAUGCAGACAACAAACAUAUGUAAAAAAGCUCAUCAUCACUGGUCAUUAGAGA